UUUAAAUGAUGAGUUUGGAAAGCGGAACCUUCGACACUCUUGGAGCGCCUCCAGGUGGCUGAAGACGGGGCAACUUCCUGUUUCCGUCAGAAGUGCUUUGGAGAAUGAAGAGAAUGCUCUUGUCGUUCCUGCUCUGAGACUUAUUUUCUUUUUUUCAGUCAGACUGAGAGUCACGGGAAGAAUGGCGGCCCAUCUCGGUGGUCAGCGCCCCGAACAGCAAGUUGUGGAAAACAUGGCGCAGGCCGUAGUGUCUGCUCUUGCAAGGGAAAUUAGUGGCAAUCUACCAACCUCUACAACAUCAACUCCCACUGUUGGCCACAGUACCACUGCAAACACUUCUCGACCUUCAACCACAACAGUUAAUUAAGCUUUAAAAAGGUAAGCUUUAGUCUAGAUUCUGACAAUGUUCUUCCUCUCAUGACUAUGCUGUUGGGCUUGAUAAUGUUAUUUUAUGGAUCACAUGUUUUGUUUAAAGACUUUUUGGGAAAAUUUAGCCCCCUCCUCCCCCAAUGCAUUGUUUGUAAUUCUAAUGAUCAGUUAUUUAAUCGUACCCACAAUCCACCAUCUUGUUUUGCAAGGACAUUUUACAACUUAAUUUUACUUGAGCUUUUAAUUCAGGCCAGCUCUACAAUUUAAUGUCAGUGUUACAGCCCAGACGGGCAAACCCGUGUAAAGUCUAGGGCACUUGUCACAGUCGAGGCCCAAAUCUGGCCUUCCAGAUCAUUUUAUUUUAUUGUUAUUAAUGGCCCUCUGUUAUUUUUUGUUUUUUUUUCUAACUUGUAUAAGUUUGACAAAAUAUAUUUUAAU